rnacentral:rRNA from 1 species
GGUGAACGCUGGCGGCGUGCCUAAGACAUGCAAGUCGAGCGGGCCAGGUAUAUGCCUGUUCAGCGGCGGACGGGUGAGUAACGCGUGGGUGCCCUACCCGGAAGAGGCGGACAACCUGGGGAAACUUAGGCUAAUCCGCGCUGUGGUCCUGUCCUGUGGGGCAGGACAAAAGGGUGGAUAGCCCGCUUCCGGAUCUGCCCGCUUCCCAUCAGCUAGUGGGUGGGGAAAAGGACGACCAAGGCGACGCCGGGUAGCCGGUCUGUGAGGAUGGCAGGCGACAGGGGCACUGAGACACGGGGCCCACUCCUACGGGAGGAAGUAGUGAGGAAUCUGCCGCAAUGAACGGGAGUCGGACGGAGCGACGCCGCGUGGAGGAGGAAGCAAAUCGGGGUGUAAACUCCUGAACUGGGGACGAAGGCCCUGUGUAGGGCGAGGACGGUACCCAGGUAAUAGCGCCGGCCAACUCCGU